rnacentral:rRNA from 1 species
GUCGACCCCUAAGGCGAGGCCGAAAGGCGUAGUCGAUGGGAAACAGGUUAAUAUUCCUGUACUUGGUGUUACUGCGAAGGGGGGACGGAGAAGGCUAUGUUGGCCGGGCGACGGUUGUCCCGGUUUAAGCGUGUAGGCUGGUUUUCCAGGCAAAUCCGGAAAAUCAAGGCUGAGGCGUGAUGACGAGGCACUACGGUGCUGAAGCAACAAAUGCCCUGCUUCCAGGAAAAGCCUCUAAGCAUCAGGUAACAUCAAAUCGUACCCCAAACCGACACAGGUGGUCAGGUAGAGAAUACCAAGGCGCUUGAGAGAACUCGGGUGAAGGAACUAGGCAAAAUGGUGCCGUAACUUCGGGAGAAGGCACGCUGAUAUGUAGGUGAAGUCCCUCGCGGAUGGAGCUGAAAUCAGUCGAAGAUACCAGCUGGCUGCAACUGUUUAUUAAAAACACAGCACUGUGCAAACACGAAAGUGGACGUAUACGGUGUGACGCCUGCCCGGUGCCGGAAGGUUAAUUGAUGGGGUCAGCGCAAGCGAAGCUCUUGAUCGAAGCCCCGGUAAACGGCGGCCGUAACUAUAACGGUCCUAAGGUAGCGAAAUUCCUUGUCGGGUAAGUUCCGACCUGCACGAAUGGCGUAAUGAUGGCCAGGCUGUCUCCACCCGAGACUCAGUGAAAUUGAACUCGCUGUGAAGAUGCAGUGUACCCGCGGCAAGACGGAAAGACCCCGUGAACCUUUACUAUAGCUUGACACUGAACAUUGAGCCUUGAUGUGUAGGAUAGGUGGGAGGCUUGGAAGUGUGGAUGCCAGUCUGCAUGGAGCCGACCUUGAAAUACCACCCUUUAAUGUUUGAUGUUCUAACGUUGACCCGUAAUCCGGGUUGCGGACAGUGUCUGGUGGGUAGUUUGACUGGGGCGGUCUCCUCCUAAAGAGUAACGGAGGAGCACGAAGGUUGGCUAAUCCUGGUCGGACAUCAGGAGGUUAGUGCAAUGGCAUAAGC